AUACGGAUGGUGCGAGCGUUGUUCGGAAUUACUGGGCGUAAAGGGCGCGUAGGCGGCGAUGUAAGUCAAAUGUGAAAGUCCUCGGCUUAACCGGGGAAGUGCAUCUGAAACUGCAUUGCUUGAGUAUGUGAGAGGAAAGUGGAAUUCCCGGUGUAGAGGUGAAAUUCGUAGAGAUCGGGAGGAAUACCGGUGGCGAAGGCGACUUUCUGGACCAAUACUGACGCUGAGGCGCGAAAGCGUGGGGAGCAAACAGGAUUAGAAACCCUAGUAGUCC
rnacentral:rRNA from 1 species